rnacentral:rRNA from 1 species
CCUACGGGAGGCAGCAGUGGGGAAUAUUGGGCAAUGGGCGCAAGCCUGACCCAGCAACGCCGCGUGAAGGAAGAAGGCUUUCGGGUUGUAAACUUCUUUUCUCAGGGACGAAGAAAGUGACUGUACCUGAGGAAUAAGCCACGUCUAACUACGUGCCAGCCGCCGCGGAAAUGCGGAGGGGGCAAGCUGUACCCGGUUUUAUUGGGUGUAAAGGGCGUGUAGGCGGGAGUGCAAGUCAGAAGUGAAAACGCAGGGCUCAACCCUGGGCCUGUAUUGGAAACUGUGUUUCUAGAGUGCUGGAGAGGUAAUCGGAAUUCCGUGUGUAGCGGUGAAAUGCGUAGAUAUUCGGAGGAACACCAGUGGCGAAGGCGGAUUGCUGGACAGUAACUGACGCUGAGGCGCGAAAGCGUGGGGAGCAAACAGGAUUAGAUACCCCUGUAGUC